rnacentral:rRNA from 1 species
ACGGAGGGUGCAAGCGUUAUUCGGAUUUACUGGGCGUAAAGGGCGCGUAGGCGGUCUGAUAAGUCAGUUGUGAAAGCCCGGGGCUCAACCCCGGAAGUGCAAUUGAAACUAUCAGGCUUGAGUAUGGUAGAGGGAAGUGGAAUUCCAGGUGUAGCGGUGAAAUGCGUAGAUAUCUGGAGGAACACCGGUGGCGAAGGCGACUUCCUGGACCAAUACUGACGCUGAGGCGCGAAGGUGUGGGGAGCAAACAGG